rnacentral:rRNA from 1 species
GAGUAAUAAAAGUUUUUAUCUCCAAACUCAAAAGAUUUGGCGGUAUUUUAUCUUAUUAGAGAAACCUGUUUAGUAAUUGAUAAUCCACAACUUUAUUUACUUUUAUUAUUAUAUUUGUAUACCGCUGUCAUGAAUGUAUUUAAAAAUUUAUUUUUUAUUUUUAUAAUAUAAAUGUUAGGUCAAGGUGCAGUUUAUAAAGAUUAAAAUGGGUUACUAAAAGAAAUAUGAAUGUAAGAAAGAGGAUUUAAAAGUAAAAUUAUAAAGAAAUAUUAUGAAUUAAGAUUCUAAAAUAUG